rnacentral:rRNA from 1 species
AGCAGUAGCCGCGGUAAAACGGAGGGUGCAAGCGUUAAUCGGAAUUACUGGGCGUAAAGCGCACGCAGGCGGUCUGACAAGUCAGAUGUGAAAUCCCCGGGCUUAACCUGGGAACUGCAUUUGAAACUGUCAGGCUGGAGUCUUGUAGAGGGGGGUAGAAUUCCAGGUGUAGCGGUGAAAUGCGUAGAGAUCUGGAGGAAUACCGGUGGCGAAGGCGGCCCCCUGGACAAAGACUGACGCUCAGGUGCGAAAGCGUGGGGAGCAAACAGGAUUAGAUACCCCUGUAGUCCCUGUCUCUUAUAC